GGGACGAGGCGGCGGCUAUGGCGGACGAGCGGGCGGUGUGAGGGCUCGGCCGCCAUUUUGUGUGUGUGGGGGCUCGCGCCAGGCCUCGCUGCCGCCGCCGCGAGGCUGGUGAGCGGCCGGGGACUUCGAUGAGACUCCGAGCUGAGCCGGGAGCGCGGGGGAGCGUCUCCCUCCGGUGUUGAGUCCUGAGGAGAGCGGCGGAGGCCCGCGCGCAGCGUUUUCAGGGAGCCGGACUGCUGCUGCAGCGCUUCCUGCCUGAAGAGCGGCUGGAAGCGGAGUCGGGUAUCGCAGUCCCCCGCUGGGGACGGGGUGCUUCGGCAGGCGCUGCAAGUCUGCGCUGCUGCUAAGUGUGCCGAGGGCUGCGUGCUGCCCGGCUCACCGCGCUGCCCCGGGGUCACUGCUGCCGGAGUGGGACACGCAGCUGUCCGGGAGGAGCCGAGUCCGCCCCGUGCAGCGCUGCGGGGCUCCAGGUGGAGCAGGAGGCCUCAGCGGGCUGCUGCUUCUCUCCCCGAGCAAUGACUUCUAACGAGUGAGAUCCCAAUUAACUCAGCCCGCUCCUAACGAGUGAGAUCCCAAUUAACUCAGCCCGCUCCAACACAAGGAGCAGCAGCAGAGCCCCCGCAGCCACCCCAGCGCUGCCGCUGCCCGAUGGUGUCAUGGCAGAGGGAAGGGAAAAGGAGACUGCGAGGCUCCUGGGCAGCACCCCUGCGGUACUCUCCUGUCCUUCCCACAGCUGGUGGCAGUGUUUGCCCCGAGCGGAUUUUUUGGCCAAGCCUAUGCUAAAACCUGCCUGGAGCCCCACAGCAGCCCCACGCCAUCUUCCCCUUCCCCGGAGCUGACGUUUGUUAUGAAAUAAACCUGCCCCCGUAGGUACCGAG